UACAGAGGUCUCAAGCGUUGUUCGGAUUCAUUGGGCGUAAAGGGUGCGUAGGCGGCGCCGUAAGUCAGGUGUGAAAAUUUUCGGGAGCUUAAACUCCGAAAACUGCAUUUUGAUACUGGGUAUCUCGAGUCCGGAAGAGGUGAGUGGAAUUCCGAGUGUAGAGGUGAAAAUUCGUAGAUAUUCGGAGGAACACCAGUGGCGAAGGCGGCUCACUGGUCCGGUACUGACGCUGAGGUGCGAAAGCGUGGGGAGCAAACAGG
rnacentral:rRNA from 1 species